CCUACGGGUGGCAGCAGUAGGGAAUAUUGGGCAAUGGACGGAAGUCUGACCCAGCCAUGCCGCGUGCAGGAAGAAGGCCUCUGGGUUGUAAACUGCUUUUAUCAGGGAAGCGGUACCUGAGGAAUAAGCACCGGCUAACUCCGUGCCAGCAGCCGCGGUAAUACGGAGGGUGCAAGCGUUGUCCGGAUUUAUUGGGUUUAAAGGGUGCGUAGGCGGCCCUGUAAGUCAGUGGUGAAAGCCUCCAGCUCAACUGGAGAACUGCCAUUGAUACUGCAGGGCUUGAGUACAGACGAGGUUGGCGGAAUUGAUAGUGUAGCGGUGAAAUGCAUAGAUACUAUCAAGAACUCCGAUUGCGUAGGCAGCUAACUAGGCUGUACUGACGCUGAGGCACGAAAGCGUGGGGAGCGAACAGGAUUAGAUACCCUUGUAGUC
rnacentral:rRNA from 1 species